GCUCGAGUGGCGAACGGGUGAGUGACACGUGAGUAACCUGCCCUUGACUUUGGGAUAACUUCAGGAAACUGGGGCUAAUACCGGAUAGGAGCUCCUGCUGCAUGGUGGGGGUUGGAAAGUUUCGGCGGUUGGGGAUGGACUCGCGGCUUAUCAGCUUGUUGGUGGGGUAGUGGCUUACCAAGGCUUUGACGGGUAGCCGGCCUGAGAGGGUGACCGGCCACAUUGGGACUGAAAUACGGCCCAG
rnacentral:rRNA from 1 species